ensembl:lncRNA
AUGUGGGCUUCUAUUGCAGUCAAAGCUUCCCUUUCGAGUUCUCUAACUCGCUCACUAAUGCCUUGUGUGUGUGUGUGUGUGCGUGUGUUACUAACCUUUUAUCCUAUGCCUUUAGGUGAGAAGGAACAACAGACCCUUGGGGGUGGCUGUUUGCUGGCUGUGAAGGUCAAAAGAAAGAAGAGUCUGCACCUUUGCCCUUGGUUGUGCCCCAGGCCUCCUGGUGGUCACGGGUAGCAUGCAGCCAAUAAAUAUUUGCCGAAGAAUUUUGGUGGAUGUAAAUCCACACCUCUGCUUUGAUCAAAAAUCAAUAAAGUAAUUGAGAAGAUCAAGGUACAGAACUGCAAAUAAUUUCCUGCUUCUUGUGUAAUAAAGGGAAAAAAUUAAAAUUGUAUUCAUUUUGCUUAAACAAUGGAAGGAUAUAUUUAAAAAACUAAGGAAACUGUUUAUCUGCAGGGGGCAGCAGAGAGCAGAAGGAACAGGGUGGGUGGUGAGGGGUUAAGAGCAAGAUUCUCUGAUAUAUCUUUUUAAAAAUGUUUUUGAUUUUUUAACCAUUUGACCAUUUUAUUGAAAAUGUAUCAACUGACAAGGGUGAAUUACCUCCUUUUCCCUCUUAAAUUUUUCUUGGCAAUGACCAUGAUAUUUAUUCAAGGAAUGUUUGGCUUUCAGAGAAUGAUCUCAACUGGACUUCUUGGAAGACAGCAGCAAAUACCCAGCAUAGGUCAUGCCCACAGAAGGGUCAUAUUCGUUUCCUUUUGCUGCUGCAACCGAUUACCACCUGUUUAGCAGCUGAAAACAACAUAAACAUAUUAUCUUACAGUUCUGGAGGUCAGAAGUUCAAAACAGGUCUCACCAGGCUAAAAUCAAGGCUUUGGCACAGGGCAUGCCCUCUCCAGGCUCCCAGGGAGAAUCCACUUCCUUCCCUUUUCCAGUUUCUAGAGGCCACUUGUGUGCCUUAGUUCACCACCCACUCCCGUCUGGAAAGCCAGCAAUGACCAGUUGAGCUUUUUCACUCUGCCUGCCGUGUGCCUCUGGUUCAGAUUCUGCUUCCCUCUUCCCCAUUCCAAGACCCUUGGGGUUGCAUUUGGUCCAGAUAAUCCAGAAUAAUUUCUUUAUGUUAAGGUCAGCUAAUUAGAUUUAUAUGUGGAAUCCAAAUAUGACAUAAAUGAACUUAGUUAUGAAACAGAAACAGAUGAAACAGACUCACAGGCAUAGAGAACAGACUUGUAGUUGCUGGGGAGGGGGGAGGAAGGUGGCUGGGAGUUUGGGACUUACAGAUGCAAAUUCUUAUAUAUAGAAUGGAUAAACAACCAGGUCCCACUAUAGAGCUCAGGGAAUUAUAUUUAAUACCCUGUAAUAAACCAUAAUGGAAAAAAUAUGAAAAAAGAAAAAAAAAAAGGCAGCUGAUUAGCAAAUUUAAUUCCAUCCGCAACCACAAUUCCCCCUUGCCAUGUAGCAUAACCGAUUCAUAGAUUCCAGGGGUUACAUUAGACAUCUUUGGGGGGGAUUACUCUGCUUACCAUAUGUACCCGUCAUAAUUAGAUACAGAGUUUUGAAUCACAGAAGCCAGAAGAGUCAAACCACCAGCCUCUCUCCUAUUACCGCCUAUAAGGGAGCAGAGCAGACUAUCCCUGCUGUUCAUUUACUUUCAGAAAUGGGAGAGACCAAAACACUUGCACCCACUUAGUCUCUGUGGCUUCCCUG